rnacentral:ncRNA from 1 species
CCUCGUCACUUAAUUUAGUGACCUGCAAUGAACGGAGCUAUGAGGUUCUCACUGUCCCAAACUGUCUCUCAGCGAACCAACUGUAGUGGGAACGGUCACUAGAUAUCCAGCGGGGAAAGAAGACCCUGUAGAGCUUCACUUUGGUCUAGUCUUGUAUAGUUCCUGCGGGGGUGUAGACUAGGUGGGAGAGCAAUCGAUUCUGAAAAACCACUACCCUGUUUGGAAUUAUGCUUACCUAUCACAAGGAAUAGGACUAGAUAGAAAGUUUGGCUGGGGCGGCACACCUUCGAAAGAGCAGCGAAGGUGUCCUAAGUUGAGCUCAGUGAGGACAGAAAUCUCACGUUGAGGAUAAGGCCAAAAGCUCAAUUUACUGUGCCUUUUUGUACUAGGAUCAGUUACGAAAGUAAGGCCUAACGAUCCCUAAAUAGCCUCAGGUGCGUGAGGAUUGGGGUGACAGACAAGUUACCUCCGGGACAACUGGCUUGUGGCUGCUAAGAGAUCAAAUCAACGCAGCUUUUUGAUUCUUCGAUGUCGGCUCUUCCUAUCCUAGUGAUGUACAAGUUGCUAAGGGUCGGAUUGUUCACCCGUAUUAGGGAUCGUGAGCUGGGUUUAGACCGUCGUGAGCCAGGUUUGUUUUAUCCUACUGGAUAUAGCAUCAUGAUAGUAGAUUGAUUUAGUACGAGAGGAACUGUUGAUUAUGGCCUCUGGUUAGCGAUUAUCGGAAACGGUAUGUCGCGCAGCUACGCCGUCUGGGAUAAUGGCUGAAAGCCUCUUAAGCCAGAAGCCCAUCUAGAAAGUGAUGCACGUGAUGUUGGACCGAUACGAAUAAUCAUACUCAAAAGGUCCGCUUCAUAGGUAACCCAAUGUAGAAGACAUUGUGUGAACGAAGGUACUGUAAGCAGUGGAGUGGCAUUACGUCCACGACCUGUUGAGGUUCAGCUUCGCUUCUAGGUUUCC